GAGGUUCAGUGACCGGAGCCUUUGCUCAGACUGGACACGUGCACGCAAAGCGCUCAAUAUAAAAUAAAGAACCCCCUUUCAAAUGUUUGAGCUCUUUUGGAGGAAGCCGAAACGUGAAGGAACCCUGCUGCAGUAUCUCAACGUUGCAAAGUCUCACACUCAGGCCAGGAUAGCUAAUCUUCUUACUAAUCACAAGGCUGGACUGUUGGAACAGAACAAAGUUCACACUGACAACAGAGGGAGAGUGGCGGGGAGUCUAGAACAGCGGCAGAUUUGACCAAAUAGCAAAAGCAGAGGAAAAGAUUAGGCCUCAGAGCAAGAAUGUCUUUUUAGUUGUUUUUGUUUUUUUUGCAAAAUAAAUUGCUGUCACACUCUGGCAGAGGUUGGACCUGGCAACAUGUACAUCCACACACUGAAGGAUCCUGAAAACUAACAAGCAUGGAGGUGCUGAGUGGCCCCUGGGCUGAUCUGGCCCUUUUCCUGCAACAGGCUGCCACACACAGAGACACGGACAGCUUUCUUCCUCUCUGGCUGUUUGGAUUGUUGCUGUUCCUGUCAGUCUGUCUGCUGCUGCUGCAACUAAUCGUCUACUUCAGCUGGAAGCUCAGACAGGCUGAGGGGGAUCUGUCCAGGUUUGAGCAGGACCGAAGUGCCAUCCACAGGCAGAGGCACAAAAGUGCCAGUCAGAGGAGAAGUUUUGGAUCACAUUCCUAUUCCUGACAGGAAUCUCUUAACAGUGACGGACAAAAUUUGACUUAUGUACAUAUAAUAUUUGAACACUACUCGGUGUGGAAAUUGUGGAUACAUCUCCAAAUGUGUAAUAACUCUUUUGCAGCGUUUUUUUAAAAAUUGGAUACUGUACUGUUCAUAUUAUGUAUGAUACUGAUCUUCUACACAGUUCUCAGCUUAUGUACGACAGUUUGCAUUAUUUAGGUUUUAAUAUAAAUAAAAUAAGUGUCUGGGGAAAAAAAAAAGACGACUGGAAGUGUUUCAGAGUAUAACAAUUGUUUAUUUGAACAGUGUUACACAGGGGCGAGGAGUGGCUGCGUGUGAGGAGACAACACGAUUAUGCAGCUAGACUAAACAACCUACCAGUGAUGUGUUGGUAGCAGGAAGCAAAGAGGUGGCUAGUUAAUUUCUUCAAAAUGUCCGUCUUCAUAAACGUCUUAAGAUUUAUUUCUUGUUAGGUGAGAUACAAAAAAAUGUGCCGUUAUUGUGGGGAAUAAAGCCUGAGAAUACAAUUCCU